CUCCCACGAAAAACCAAAAGAAAAGGAGCAAAAAAGGGAGAAGAAAGAAAUGGAACGGAACACUACGAGAGAAUCGGAGGAUGGCGGCAGUAAAUUGGCAGCCGUUCACAUAACCGCUGCAAAUUGGCAAGUUAGUUUACUCGCGCUGUAACCUGUGUAAGAGCGCAAACCACUUCUCUGGAAUCCUGACCACCGUGGUACUCCCCCUCCGUCAAUUCCGGUAAUCUCGUGAUCCCCAUUGUUGUAUCCAUCACUGAGCCACUUUCCUGCCUUCCUCUAUGAUUGCGCGCACCACUUCAUUAGUCAAGAAUCAGAUUUGGGAUUUGUUUUCUACAUCGCACGAACAGAAAAGUAGCAGAAACAAGAAACACACCUCCGCGCUAGAAUCGUGGCCGAUGUUCCCCUCUACCAGUCAGUACCGGUUGCAUUGUGCUUCUCCUUGCCAGUGGAUCCAGUAGCUGAACUCAUAUUAUGGCUCAAAAAUCUGAUGAUUGAAUUAAGAAUUGAUGUUCCAGCCCCUCCCCUGAUGUACUGUGAUAAUCUCAGUGCAGUGUUACUAGCAGCAAACCCCAUCUUACACUCAAAGUCGAAGCACAAAGAAAAUAGUGAAUGUAAGUCAGGUUGAAUACAAGUAGCAGAUGUGUUUACCAAAGCUCUCCCUAGUACUGCGUUCUUGCAAUUUCGAUCAAUAUUGAAUGUAAUACAGAACGGGCCAAGUAGUGAAGAAGGAAAGACUGAAGUCAGAAGAGUCAGAAACUGGGAACCAUGAGAAGAAGAAUGUCGAGUAUGAAGAAAACUCAAAACUGGUGGAAGAAGGAGAAGAAUCUCAAAGUAGUGACGAUGACAGAGUAACAGUGCAUUCAGACUGGUGGAAGAAGUAGAAGAAUCUCAAAGCAGUGACAAUGACAGAGUAACAGUGCAUUCAGGCAGUUAAAGCUUGAGGCAGUUAAGGCUGCAGCUGGCAUUUAGUUAAAGUCAGUUAGAGAUUAUUGUUAUGAGUGCUAGGCUGGAAUUCAGUUAGCUAGUUAGUCUCAGUCUGUUAGCUUCCCCAAUCAGUUAGUUAGAACACCCUCCCAAAUAUGCUUAUAUAUACAUGGACUACACUGUAAGUAAGUGAUGUUGAAUCAAUAAUACAAUACAAUAGAAAUUCACUCAA